rnacentral:rRNA from 1 species
UACAGAGGUGGCAAGCGUUGUUCGGAAUUACUGGGCGUAAAGGGCGCGUAGGCGGUCUUGUAAGUCUCGUGUGAAAUCCCUCGGCUUAACUGAGGAACUGCACGGGAUACUGCUUGACUUGAGUUCGGGAGAGGGAAGCGGAAUUCCGGGUGUAGCGGUGAAAUGCGUAGAUAUCCGGAGGAACACCGGUGGCGAAGGCGGAUCUCUGGGCCUUACCUGACGCUCAGGUGCGAAAGCUAGGGGAGCGAACAGG